AUACCUCAAUCCCCAUCUUUUCUUCAGAUUGAUGGGUGACUUGGAUGUUGAGCCCUGCUGGUAUGCUAUAUCAGCUGGCUUUAAACUUAUUAGCCGGCUCUGUACUGGAUCGGUUCGACUCGACGUGAUAAUAUUAUCGUUGAGGAUGCAUGUCUCAUGCAGCCGGAAAGUAUCAAAGCAGCUUCUAGCUUGCUCCUAGCGCACUUUUACAU
rnacentral:misc_RNA from 1 species